CCUACGGGAGGCAGCAGUAGGGAAUCUUCCACAAUGUACGAAAGUCUGAUGGAGCAACGCCGCGUGAGUGAAGAAGGGUUUCGGCUCGUAAAGCUCUGUUGGUAGUGAAGAAAGAUAGAGGUAGUAACUGGCCUUUAUUUGACGGUAAUUACUUAGAAAGUCACGGCUAACUACGUGCCAGCAGCCGCGGUAAUACGUAGUUGGCAAGCGUUUUCCGGAUUUUUUGGGCGUAAAGCGAGUGCCUGCGGUUCAAUAAGUCUGAUGUGAAAGGCUUCGGAUCAACCGGAGAAUUGCAUCAGAAACUGUUGAACUUGAGUGCAGAAGAGGAGAGUGGAACGCCAUGUGUAGCGGUGGAAUGCGUAGACAUAUGGAAGAACACCAGUGGCGAAGGCGGCUCUCUGGUCUGCAACUGACGCUGAGGCUCGAAAGCAUGGGUAGCGAACAGGAUUAGAUACCCUUGUAGUC
rnacentral:rRNA from 1 species